rnacentral:lncRNA from 1 species
AGAGCCUCUAUAUUUCAAAUCUUGAUUAUCCCCCUUUUUUAAUCUUGAUUAGAGGUAUCACAACGGUCAGUUUGUACACUGUAUCGUUUGUACUUAUGAUUGAAGUCCUUUCAGUGACCUUAAAACACUAACGUCUUUGUAGGUGUUCUGUAGAAAAGUGAUUUCAACCACAAUCCUGCCAUUUUCCCUAUUGAUAAAAAUGCCAUCAAUCUAUUUUAGGCAAUGAGAAAUAUCAGUCAGGAAUAUUUGUCUAAAUUUGAUUUAAAACCUAC